rnacentral:pre_miRNA from 1 species
AACAUACUCCCUCUGUCCGGAAAUACUUAUCAUCAAAAUGGAUGUAUUUAGAACUAAAAUACAUCUAGAUACAUCUAUUUCAAUGACAAGUAUUUUCGGACGGAGGGAGUACGUA